rnacentral:rRNA from 1 species
GAUGAACGCUGGCGGCGUGCCUAACACAUGCAAGUCGAGCGAUCUUCUUCGGAAGAGAGCGGCGGACGGGUGAGUAACGCGUGGGUAACCUGCCCUGUACACACGGAUAACAUACCGAAAGGUAUGCUAAUACGGGAUAACAUAAGAAAGUCGCAUGGAUUUCUUAUCAAAGCUUUUGCGGUACAGGAUGGACCCGCGUCUGAUUAGCUAGUUGGUAAGGUAACGGCUUACCAAGGCGACGAUCAGUAGCCGACCUGAGAGGGUGAUCGGCCACAUUGGAACUGAGACACGGUCCAAACUCCUACGGGAGGCAGCAGUGGGGAAUAUUGCACAAUGGGCGAAAGCCUGAUGCAGCAACGCCGCGUGAGCGAUGAAGGCCUUCGGGUCGUAAAGCUCUGUCCUCAAGGAAGAUAAUGACGGUACUUGAGGAGGAAGCCCCGGCUAACUACGUGCCAGCAGCCGCGGUAAUACGUAGGGGGCUAGCGUUAUCCGGAAUUACUGGGCGUAAAGGGUGCGUAGGCGGUCUUUCAAGUCAGAAGUGAAAGGCUACGGCUCAACCGUAGUAAGCUUUUGAAACUGUAAGACUUGAGUGCAGGAGAGGAGAGUGGAAUUCCUAGUGUAGCGGUGAAAUGCGUAGAUAUUAGGAGGAACACCAGUUGCGAAGGCGGCUCUCUGGACUG